rnacentral:tRNA from 1 species
GGCUCGUUGGUCUAGGGGUAUGAUUCUCGCUUAGGGUGCGAAAGGUCCCGGGUUCAAAUCCCGGACGAGCCC